AUUGAACGCUGGCGACAGGCCUAACACAUGCAAGUCGAGCGGAUGAAGGGAGCUUGCUCUCUGAUUCAGCGGCGGACGGGUGAGUAAUGCCUAGGAAUCUGCCCGGUAAUGGGGGAUAACGUUCCGAAAGGAACGCUAAUACCGCAUACGUCCUACGGGAGAAAGCGGGGGAUCUUCGGACCUCGCGUUAUCGGAUGAGCCUAGGUCGGAUUAGCUAGUUGGUGGGGUAAAGGCCUACCAAGGCGACGAUCCGUAACUGGUCUGAGAGGAUGAUCAGUCACACUGGAACUGAGACACGGUCCAGACUCCUACGGGAGGCAGCAGUGGGGAAUAUUGGACAAUGGGCGAAAGCCUGAUCCAGCCAUGCCGCGUGUGUGAAGAAGGUCUUCGGAUUGUAAAGCACUUUAAGUUGGGAGGAAGGGUAGUAAGUUAAUACCUUGCUGUUUUGACGUUACCAACAGAAUAAGCACCGGCUAACUUCGUGCCAGCAGCCGCAGUAAGAC
rnacentral:rRNA from 1 species